GAUGAACGCUGGCGGCGUGCUUAACACAUGCAAGUCGAACGAUGAAGCCCAGCUUGCUGGGUGGAUUAGUGGCGAACGGGUGAGUAACACGUGAGUAACCUGCCCUUAACUCUGGGAUAAGCCUGGGAAACUGGGUCUAAUACCGGAUAGGAGCGCCUACCGCAUGGUGGGUGUUGGAAAGAUUUAUCGGUUUUGGAUGGACUCGCGGCAUAUCAGCUUGUUGGUGAGGUAAUGGCUCACCAAGGCGACGACGGGUAGCCGGCCUGAGAGGGUGACCGGCCACACUGGGACUGAGACACGGCCCAGACUCCUACGGGAGGCAGCAGUGGGGAAUAUUGCACAAUGGGCGCAAGCCUGAUGCAGCGACGCCGCGUGAGGGAUGACGGCCUUCGGGUUGUAAACCUCUUUCAGUAGGGAAGAAGCGAAAGUGACGGUACCUGCAGAAGAAGCACCGGCUAACUACGUGCCAGCAGCCGCGGUAAUACGUAGGGUGCGAGCGUUAUCCGGAAUUAUUGGGCGUAAAGAGCUCGUAGGCGGUUUGUCGCGUCUGUCGUGAAAGUCCGGGGCUUAACCCCGGAUCUGCGGUGGGUACGGGCAGACUAGAGUGCAGUAGGGGAGACUGGAAUUCCUGGUGUAGCGGUGGAAUGCGCAGAUAUCAGGAGGAACACCGAUGGCGAAGGCAGGUCUCUGGGCUGUAACUGACGCUGAGGAGCGAAAGCAUGGGGAGCGAACAGGAUUAGAUACCCUGGUAGUCCAUGCCGUAAACGUUGGGCACUAGGUGUGGGGACCGUUCCACGGUUUCCGCGCCGCAGCUAACGCAUUAAGUGCCCCGCCUGGGGAGUACGGCCGCAAGGCUAAAACUCAAAGGAAUUGACGGGGCCCGCACAAGCGGCGGAGCAUGCGGAUUAAUUCGAUGCAACGCGAAGAACCUUACCAAGGCUUGACAUGUUCUCGAUCGCCGUAGAGAUACGGUUUCCCCUUUGGGGCGGGUUCACAGGUGGUGCAUGGUUGUCGUCAGCUCGUGUCGUGAGAUGUUGGGUUAAGUCCCGCAACGAGCGCAACCCUCGUUCCAUGUUGCCAGCACGUAAUGGUGGGGACUCAUGGGAGACUGCCGGGGUCAACUCGGAGGAAGGUGAGGACGACGUCAAAUCAUCAUGCCCCUUAUGUCUUGGGCUUCACGCAUGCUACAAUGGCCGGUACAAUGGGUUGCGAUACUGUGAGGUGGAGCUAAUCCCAAAAAGCCGGUCUCAGUUCGGAUUGGGGUCUGCAACUCGACCCCAUGAAGUCGGAGUCGCUAGUAAUCGCAGAUCAGCAACGCUGCGGUGAAUACGUUCCCGGGCCU
rnacentral:rRNA from 1 species